CUGUAGCUGAUUUAUUUCUUUAAGUUUCCCUGCCGUCGGCAGAGUGAACCAGAUACGUGUGUGUUGGGGCAUUCGCUGCGUGGAGGAGGAGGAAGAAAGGCAUUUAAAAAUUUUUAUUAAAAAAAUUUUUUUUGCCUCUCUACCCCAUCUCCCCCCUCAACAAAUUGUGAUGGGAUUAGUAGGUGUUGACAAGUUGUCCAUAUUGCUUUGAAUUUGGGUAAGUUGUACACUCUUAAAAGAUGACUGUAAUUUAGCUCUGUGGAUUUAUUCUUUACUGGCCCUUACCAUCUCCCCACCCCCCACCAUCCCCCAUUUAAAACAAACAACAAUAUCAGCAACAAAAAACCCACACAUCCUGGAAAAAUUCUCUAGAUUUCUACUAUAUUUCUCUACAUCCAUUGUAGAUAUUACUGUAUUUACUUUUAAGAUAGAAAACUAUUGUGCUAACCAUGGAUUGAUUUCAUUAUGAAUUUAAAAGUUGUAAAUUUAGAACCAUAAUGAAUCUGAAUAAUUAGGCCAACAUGUAAGGGACAGAAAUAUGUUAAUUUACUAAAAGUUGGGCAUAGAACAUACCUCUGCCUAGAUGGCAGGAAAAAGUGCUAUGCAUAAUUUCAAGUUGUUUGUUUCUGGUGUGAGUUUGGAAAGUGGGAAUCUGAGUUUUUAGUAGGUACUUAGAUGACAGCUUUUCACCCUCUUAGUUAAAUGUCAAAUGAGCUUGAUGCACAUGAUACUCUAUGUUCUAAGUAUUGUAUAUAGUAAACUAUAUUUUCUACCGGCCUUUAUAUUGAUGUACAGUUUAAAUGAAUAUGAAGUUUAAAGUUAGCAGUUAACUCUUCGUAUGUUAAGUAAAACAAUGAUUUAGUAAGGAAAGUAUGACUCAUUUAAAUUUUUUCAUAGGAAAAGACAAUUUUUCAGUAUUAGUGGAGAAUUAUUAAAUGUCUCUCUUAAAUUUGCCUGGAAUUUGUAUUUUUGUGUAUCUUUCUACUUAGGAUUAAGCAUUUUAGGAAUAUUGUGUUUCCUAUUAAAGUUUUUCUUAAUUAUGCUUUUUAAGACUAUACUGGUCAAUGUUUCUGAGUAAAUUCAAUAUCCAGUUAUUCUUAGAAUUGUAUCACAAAUUUAUUCAGGGUACAUCUAAUAAGUUCAUGUUUACCUAAUAGAAAUAUGAAAAUUUAUGUCACUGGGCAUAUGCUAUUUAUAUGUUGAUUUGUGCUAAAAUUAAAAUUACAUUAUACAGUUUAACUUUAUAAGUCAUCGUAAUUUAAAGUAGAGUCCGUGUAUGGUAAAAUCAUUGAUGGGAAUUUUUGUGACCGUGCAGCUAUAAAUAAACCUUAAGUAGAAAAUGGAAAGCUUGAUGCUGAAAUUGAAUUCAUAUAGGCUUAAAAGUUUAAGCUUCCUAAUACAACCAUUUUUUCGUUUAGAAGAUUCUUAGGAUUUGAUUAACGAGUUUGGUGUACAAACUAUAGCAAGGCUGAAAGAAAGGCAUGACAAAAAUGUUUUUACUCCAGGUUCAGUGGGAUUAAGUCAUUCUUUUAAAAGAAGAAAGGGAUGUCUGGGGGGGAGGGGUUGAAGGGGACUUGUUCCAUAAAAUGAAAAGUUAGCCUUUUAUCUUAAAACCUGGUUAGAGAAGAACUCCAAUGUGUACUUAAAUUAUUUUGCAGCUAAUACAAAUGUCCAAGGAGAAAAUAUAUGCCAAAAUCUGUAAUGUAUGAGAACAGGAAGUGUCCCUUGGAGAGAAAAAAUAUAUAUAAAGAAACUGGUGUUUGUGAUCUAGGGAAGCACAUAAGAAGGUGGAAGAAACAAAAGGAAAGCAAAUAAAUUAGCACCUGUAGUAUGUGCUGCCUUGCUCAUUGAAGGGGCAUGUUGUGGGCAAAGAGAGGCAAAAUUAGGGAGAUUCUGGAAUGGGAAACCUGUAUACUAAAGCACAUUUAAACUAGUGGAUGUUGGAUAAUAGGCAGAAUUUGAAAUUAAAUACAGCUUGGCAUAGUUAUUUGCUUUCGUGGUCAUUGUAUUAGUUUUCUAGGGCUGCGGUAACAAAAUACCACAAACUGGGUGAUUUAAAACAAGAGAUUUAUUGUCUCAGUUCUGGAGACAAAGUAUCUGUCUGAAAUCAAGAUAUAGGUAGGUCCAUGCUCUCUCGAGGUUCAAGGGGAGAAUCUGUUCCAUCCCUCUUAGCUUCUUGUGUUACUGCCAGUCCUUGGCGUUUUUUGGCUUGCAGCUAUCACUCCAGUCUCUGACUGUUAUCAUGACAUAAUCCCUGUGUGGCUCUGUCUUCAUAUGGUGUGAUCCCCUUCUUAAAAGGUUACUAGUCGUAUUGGAUUAAGAUCUACCCUAAUCACAUCAUCUUAACUUGAUUACAUCUGCAAAGACCCUAUUUUGAAAUAAGGUCACACGCAGAGGUACUAGAAUUAGGACUUCAGCCUAUCUUUUGGGGAGACACAGUUUAACCUAUAACAGUUACGCAGUUUGUAUUCUACAGUGUUCAGUAGAUGUUUAGCAUCAUAGGCUGAAUCAGAGGCUACAAUGAAAACAGGAUGGGACCCAUACAUUUAUUUACAUAUAUCAGUAUGUCUUAAUCCGUUUUCUGUUACCUCUAGCAGAAUAUCUGAAACUGGCUAUUCUGUAAAGAAAAGAAAUUUAUUCUUUACAGUUAUGAAGGCUGAAAAGUCCUGAGUCAGGAGGCCACAUCUGGUGAGGACCUUGCUGGUAGGGACUCUACAGAGUCCUGAGGUAGCACAGGGUACCACAUGGUGAGGGGGCCAAGUAUGCUAGCCCAGAACUCUUUCUUAUAAAGCUACCAGUUUCUUUCCCAUGGUAACCCAUUCAUGAGGGCCAAAGCCUUAGGAUCCAGUCAUCACUUAAAGACUCCAGCUCUCGGUACUGCCACACUGGCGAUAAAGUUUCAACAUGAGUUUUGAUGGAGACAAACAUUUAGACCACAGCAAGUGCUUACUGUGUGCCAAGUCCUAGAGAUAAAACAAUGGAUAGACAAAAAUCUCUGUCCUCAUGGAACUUACAUUCUCAAACACACGUUCUAAAAAUGUGGUCCCUGGAUCUAUAGCAUCCGCAUCACCUAGGAAGUUGUUAGAAAUUGACAUUUUCAGUCUCCAUCACAGAACUGCUUAACUAGCCUUCCAAAUUAUUCUGAUGCAGACUCAGGUUUCAGAACCACUGAUCAAGAUGGAAAAGAGACAAUAAACAAGAUGGAAGUUAAAUAAUAUUAGCUAUUAAUAGGUGCUGUGGGUAAGAAUAGGAUGGCCAGCGAAGACCCUGAAAAGUAAAGACCUGAAGGAGUUAGAGUGAGCCAUAUGAGCCAUCUGGGUGUGUGUUCUCAGCAGAGAACAGUAAGCGCAAAGACCCUGGCACAUUGGAGGAAUGGCAAGCAGUCCAGCGUUAAAACGUAGUGAAGGAAACAGUAUUAGGUUCAAUCUAUAAAAUUGUUGCUGUUUGUUCAUUUUUGACCUACAAAAGCACCAGAUACUAGGGAGAAGAGAUCAGAAAGAAAGUGGUGCAGUAGGAUGCCGAUUGUGUGAAGAUUGUUGUAAGGUUUUGAGUUUCUCUGAUACUAGGAGGACAGUGGAGGGUUUUGAGCAAAUGAGUGAUAUGAUCUGAUUUCAGUUUUAAAAGGAUCACUGUGGCUACUGGUAAAAAUGGGCCAAAGAAGGAAAGGCUAAAGGAAGGGAAAAGAUGGUUAGAAUGUUGUUACAGUUGUUAGAGGUGGCUCAGACCAGUGUGAUAGCAGUGGAGAGGUGGUUACUUGGGCCUGUUUUCUUCCCCAGGAAACAUUUAGCAAUGUCUAGACAUUGUUUGUCAAAACUAGGGGGAACGGUACUGGCUUGCAUCUAGCUUAGCGGCCAGGAAUGCUGCUAAACAUUCUACAGUCAACAGGACAAUUUCCACAACAGAGGGUUAUCCAGCUCUUGAUGUCAGUAGCACCAAGGUUAAGAAACCUUGGUUUCAUGGGAUUUACAGAGGAUGGUAGGAAGCAGGUGUUGUAGUCAGAGAAAACAGUAGGAAUAGAGGAGCUGACUGUAUUGAGAAUCUUUCAGGAACUGUAGAUCAGGAUUGCUGAAACAGGCAUAAAUUAUAAGGCACAGAAUAGCAAAAGAUGAGGCUGGAAACUUGGACAGGCUCUAGAUCAUAGCCUUUAUAUAUAUCAUGUUUAAAAAAAGUUUAGUUUUUGUCUUGUAAGCAGUGGGGUUCCAUGAAAGGAUUUGUGGAGUGACAUGGUCAGCUUUUCAUUUUAGAGAGGUCAUUCUGGUGACAGAAGGGCUAUGAGCUAAAGAGGAAUAGCAUUUGUGUCAUACAAGUUAGAUAUUUUAAUAGCCUGGGGAAGAGAGGAGAGUCUGACAUAGGAUAAAUAAUAGAAAUAGAGAGGAGACAAUGGAUUAGAAAAAUAUUUAGAAAGUAAUGUUGGCAAGACUUGGUAAUUGAAUUUGGGGUGAAGAUAAGGGAAGCAUUCAGAAUGUGUCUGUACUUUUUAGUUUAGAUAAUCUUAGGGCUUUGAGUGAAAUAGGAACCCAUUGGUGAGUAAUUUAGAUAAUUACCAGUAAUUAAGGUAAAAGGAGAAGAGGAAGGUAAUGAGUCACUUUGGGUGUGUUGAAUUAGAGAUGCCUAUGUUCCAGGUGGAAGUGUUUAGCAGGCAUUUGUGUAUGUGAAUCUGAAACUUGGAUAAAUCUGAAAGGAGAAAGAGAUCAUUUUAACAGAUAUGGAGAAAUUAGUGGACUUUACUUUUUAUUAUAUUUUACUCUGUAGAUAAAAAUAGCCUCCCUUUAAGUUUUAUCAGAAAAAUAAUGUCUGUACCUGAUGCAAAAUUAAAACAUCAAAAGGUUAUAAAAUGAAAAAAAAUUCUUUCUUGCUUGUGCCACCCAGUAGUAGUUCCCAGAGAUAGCUCUUGUUAAAUAUCGUAUGUAUAUAUAUCUUAAUAGAUUUUUUAGUAUAUACAGAAGCAUCUAAAAAGCCAAGUGAGAUCAUAAUAGAAAGAUUUUUGUAUUUUGUCUUAAAAAAAUAAACCUUUUAUACAGUUGUUAAAAUGAAUGACUGUGUUAUGGAAAAAAUAAAUGAAGGGGAAAAAUGCAGACUAAUGGAUAAGCAUGAUCUUUGAUGUAAAUUAAAAGCUCAACAUACAUGUGUGAUGAGAUAGGCAUUACCCAACAAUACGAAAGCAGUUACUUUUGGGGAGAGAUAGUGGUAGAGAUGGUAAAGAAAAUUUACUCUUCUGUAUGUAUAUGGUUUUCUCUGUCUUUCAUUUGUUUGGGUUCCUUUUGUUUUCUUUACAUUUUCUGAUGCUUAAAAAAAUACCCAGUACACCUUAUUAACAAUGAAAAGUAACCUUUAUCAAAAGCACAAAGACUUUCCUUCAUCAGCACAUGUAGAUCAUUAUUUUUAACAGCUACGAGUAUUCUAUGCUGCAGUAUCUUUUUUUUUUUUAAACUAGUUCCUCAAUCAACAGACAAACAUCUUAUGGUUAUGGCUGUCAUGAGCAUCUUGGCUGACUUCUAUGAUUGUAUCUGUAAAAUAAAUUUCUGAUCAUGAAGUGAUGGAUCAAGGCAUAAUUAAAAAUUUUAAAAGAUGUGAAAUGCUCCUCCAAAAGACAGUAAAAGUUUAUAUUGCGUGAAAGAAUAUAGGACUCUCCGUUUUCUCAUAUCUGUGUCAAUGACAGCUGUUAAUACACUUUAAAAGUUUUGCCAAUAUGUUAAGUUAAAAAUAAUAUCUUUUCAUUUGAUUUACCCUUCUUUGUGAGUGAAAUUUGAACAUCGUUGACCGUUUUUCUCUGUGAAUCUUUUAUUUUCUUUAUCUAUUUUUAUAUUUGGUUAAUUAUUGAUCUUUUUUUAUUAUUUAUGAUACUUUUUGGUACUUUUUGUUGUACAUUAAAAAAUACAUUUCAUAAAGAAAUAGACCUUUUAACCAGCGACUUCAUUGCCAGAAAUUUAUCCAAUGAAUAAAUUCAUGGUUUUUUAAUAGUCAUAGCUUCCGAGUUCAGGAGAGAUCUCAAUUCGUAAUACAAAAAUGCAGAACUAUAUUUUCUUCCAGUUUUGUUUUAAAUCCAUUUUCUGAAAUACUGAAAUCUUAGAAACAUUUGGAACUGUUAUCAGAAAGUUAAGGAUCCAGCUGGUUUUGUUUUUUUCUCGAAAGAUUAAUUAAUUCAAUACCAUUUCUUCAAUAAGCCAUCUUUUUCUUGAUUUGAAGUGCUAUUAUGUAUUAAAUUUCCAAAUGAACUUUUGUUUUUCAUAGACUCUUUGUUUCAUCCUGAUAAAGUCUCUUUAUAAAAUCCAUCUGGUAAAGACCACCGGGACACAUCUGUAGGCUGACAAAGGUUAAUUAGCUUGCUGCAGCGAGGGAGACUUGCACAGCAAA